rnacentral:rRNA from 1 species
GCAUAUCAAUAAGCGGAAGGAAAAGAAAACCAACAGGGAUUGCCUCAGUAACGGCGAGUGAAGCGGCAAGAGCUCAAAUUUGAAAUCUGGCCCCGUCGGGGUCCGAGUUGUAAUUUGGAGAGGAUGCUUCGGGUGUCGCCCCCGUCUAAGUGCCCUGGAACGGGUCGUCAUAGAGGGUGAGAAUCCCGUCUGGGAUGGGUGGUGCCACCUGUGUGAAGCUCCUUCGAAGAGUCGAGUUGUUUUGGGAAUGCAGCUCUAAGUGGGUGGUAAAUUUCAUCUAAAAGCUAAAUACUGGCCGGAGACCGAUAGCGCACAAAGUAGAGUGAUCGAAAGAUGAAAAGCACUUUGAAAAGAGAGUUAAACAGCACGUGAAAUUGUUGAAAGGGAAGCGUUGGGCACCAGACUCGCCCGGGAGGGCUCAGCCGGCACGUGUGUCGGUGCACUCCUUCCUGGGCGGGCCAGCGUCGGUUUGGGCGGCCGGUCAAAGGCCCCGGGAAUGUAGCACCCUCCGGGGUGCCUUAUAGCCUGGGGUGCCAUGCGACCUGCCCGGACCGAGGAACGCGCUCCGGCUCGGACGCUGGCGUAAUGGUGGUCAACGGCCCGUCUUGAAACACGGACCAAGGAGUCUAACAUCUAUGCGAGUGUUCGGGUGUCAAACCCGUCCGCGCAGUGAAAGCGAACGGAGGUGGGAACCCCCCCGGGGGUGCACCAUCGGACCGAUCCUGAUGUCUUCGGAUUGGAUUUGAGUAAGAGCAUAGCUGUUGGGACCCGAAAGAUGGUGAACUAUGCCUGAAUAGGGCGAAGCCAGAGGAAACUCUGGUGGAGGCUCGCAGCGGUUCUGACGUGCAAAUCGAUCGUCAAAUUUGGGUAUAGGGGCGAAAGACUAA